rnacentral:rRNA from 1 species
CCUACGGGUGGCUGCAGUCGAGGAUCUUCGUCAAUGGGCGCAAGCCUGAACGAGCGAUGCCGCGUGAGCGAUGAAGGCCUUCGGGUUGUAAAGCUCAAAAGAGAUGAGAUCGAAUCUCAGUAAGCUCGGGCUAAGUUCGUGCCAGCAGCCGCGGUAAGACGAACCGAGCGAACGUUGUUCGGAAUCACUGGGCUUAAAGGGCGCGUAGGCGGGUUCGCAAGUCUGUGGUGAAAUCCUCCGGCUCAACCGGAGAACUGCCUCGGAAACUGCGAGUCUCGAGGGUGGCAGGGGUAUGCGGAACUAUCGGUGGAGCGGUGAAAUGCGUUGAUAUCGAUAGGAACUCCGGUGGCGAAGGCGGCAUACUGUCACUUCUGACGCUGAGGCGCGAAAGCCAGGGGAGCAAACGGGAUUAGAUACCCUUGUAGUC